ensembl:lncRNA
CCUUGGUGUCAGAGAGGUCUGGGUUCAAAUCCAGGUUUCACCAUACAUGAGUUUCUGAUCUUGGGCACAGAACCCAAAGUCUCUGGCAGAUGCUUUCUGAUGGGUGACAUGGGGGUGUUGAUGCUAUAGUCAAUCUUGUAUGGCUGACUUCCAACCUCGUUCCCUACCCUUCCUUCCUAAGAACCCUUCUAAGGACACUCCUGUUUUGCUCAAGCAUUCUUCCUUAUGAAGCCCAUUUCUAUAGGGGAAAAGAAAGUUACUAGCUCAGCCGUGUCUGACUCUUUGCAGUUCCAUGGAAUGUAGCCCACCAGCCUCCUCUGUCCAUGGAAUUCUUCAGGCAAGAAUACUGGAGUGGGGUGCCCUUUCCUUCUCCAGGGGAUCUUCUGGACCCAGGAAUUGAACCUGGGUCUCCUGCAUUGCAGGCAGAUUCUUCACCGUUUGAGCCACCAGGGAAGCUCUCUUCCGUAGGGUGAGAACUUCUUGCUCCUGUUGCUGUGGGCAGCCCAGUCUACGGAUAAAUCCCGUGCUUGCGAAAGAGCUGUGCUGAGGCAACCGCAGGGAAAUGGAGCCAGAGCCUCAGUCACACCACACUUGGAGCCCCCGCAAGCUCUAGACCCAGUUAUGUGGGACAGGACUGUCCUCACUGUUGAGAUCAGAGCGAGUCUGUCUCCUGUUACUGCUGCCACAGGAGAGCAGACACCUUUCCCCGGGUCACUCGUCCAUAUUUUCACGUAUUCAGUCGAAAAGCAUUUAUUGAGUGUCUAUUAAGAGCCAGACAGUGGGACUUCCCUGGUGGUACAGUGGAUAAGGAUCUGCCUGUCCAUGCAGGGGACACGGGUUUGAUCCCUGGUCCGGGAAGAUUCUGCAUACCCCGAAGCAACUAAGGCUGUGGGCCACAACUACAAGGCCAGUAGCCUGCAGCUGCUGAAGCCUGAGCCUGAGCCUGUGCCCCACGGCAAGAGAAGGCCCACUCCCAGAACUGAAGACCUAGCACAGCCGAAAAUAAAGACAUGCUUAAAGAAAAAGAGCCAGACAGCGAGUCGGACACGGGGGUGGCGGCAUUGAAUGAGGACCGGUCCCAGGGGGGCUCACUCACUAAUUGGGAGGGGUGAAUGGGAAAUGAAUAGUGAAACAAGACAGUAUCAGUAACUGGUCAUACAAAGACCACAGAAGACGGUGGCGUGUGAGAGGUUGAGAGGGGCCCUGAGGCAGGGGGCCGUCACCUUCAGAGAGGAUUAGCAGGAAGGGUGCUGGAAGAAGCAACAUUCAAGCUGAAAGCUGACUUAGAAGGUUUGGUGCUGGAGAAGACUCUUGAGGGUCCCUAGACUGCAAGGAGAUCCAACCAGUCCAUCCUAGAGGAAAUCAGUCCUGAAUAUUCUUUGGAAGGACUGAUGCUGAAGCUGAAACUUCAAUACUUCCAAUACUUUGGCCGCCUGAUAUGAAGAACUGGCUCCUUGGAAAAGACCCUGAAGCUGGGAAAGAUUGAAGGCAGGAGGAGAAGGGGACAAUAGAG